rnacentral:lncRNA from 1 species
UGUUGAUCCGUAGUGGCUGGUGCCAUGGGACUACUUGUAACACUAUUCAGAUUUGCACUGGACACUUCAAAUUUGACAUCUUCUAAGCCGGGAAUAGAGGAUAACUAAAGAACGUACAUCAGACACAUCUGAACUAGUUCAAAGAUAUCUGAGGCCACAGAAAACAAACAAGCUUUGCAAUAAAAACAACACAAGUAACUGCC